rnacentral:lncRNA from 1 species
CUAAGUCAUAUAUGGUAUUUCUGCUUAGUCUAGACUGCUCUAAGAGAUGGUUCAUUGUGUUGAGAGCGAUUACUUGAGCAGACAGAGAUGAAAUUUCUCUUGUUGUGAAGAUGCUGUCUGUCUUUUCUGUCUUUUCAGAGCGACACUGUAAGCUACCACCAGUAUCAGACCCACAGAGGAGGGUGGUCACAGAUGGUUCAAUUUUUUUGCUGUGAAUCUGUCUUCUCUGGAACUGUCUUCUCUGUCUGGAAAGUGGGAAGUCAGUGGUGUGGCAGUGAUAUCCAAAAGAGAGGGUCACAGUCUCAAACAAGUUUUGAGAAGUUUACGAAGUCCCAGUUGUUACACCCCUCGUUCUCCUGCUGUGGCUGACUGUAGCUCAGUUAACUGUCAAGGGAUUUUUGUCUGACUGUGCUAAUUUUCCUUCUGAGCAGUAACUUGGAAAGAGAAAAGACUGGUUUUAGCUAGCAUUGUAAGAAGAAAAUAAAACCAGAUGAAAUGCUUGAAGCA